UUUUUUUUUUUUUUUUUUUUGAGACGGAGUCUUGCUCUGUCGCCCAGGCUGGAGUGCAGUGGCCUGAUCUCAGCUCACUGCAAGCUCCGCCUCCCGGGUUCACACCAUUCUCCUGCCUCAGCCUCCCAAGUAGCUGGGACCACAGGUGCCCGCCACCUCGCCCGGCUGGUUUUUUGUAUUUUUUAGUAGAGACGGGGUUUCACUGUGUUAGCCAGGAUGGUCUCAAUCUCCUGACCUCAUGAUCCGCCUGUCUCGGCCUCCCAAAGUACUGGGAUUACAGGCUUGAGCCACCGCGCCCAGCCGUGUUUUCCCUGUUUAUGCGAAUCCUCGUAUUUCCCGCCACAUGCAGAUCAGAGCUCCCAGCUUUAUGGAAAAGAACACACGCUUGUUGAAGAUAAAGAGCAGCGUUCCCACAACUAGGAGGGGAAAGCUAGGAAUUCAGCCCAGAGCUCCCUGACUUCAAAGCCCAUGCUCUUUCUACUUCCUGAUUUAUUUAUUUAUUUAUUUUUUGAGACAGAGUUUCACUCUGUUGUCUAGGCUGGAGUGCAGUGGCACAAUCUCGGCUCACUGCAGUCUCUGCCUCCUGGGUUCAAGCAAUUCUCCUGCCUCAGCCUCUUGAGGAGCUGGGACUACAGGCGCCCGCCACCAUGCCUGGCUAAUUUUUUGUAUUUUUAGUAGAGAUGGGGUUUCACUGUGUUGGCCAGGCUGGUCUCAAACUCCUGACCUCAAGUGAUCCGCCCGCCUUGGUUUCCCAAAGUGCUGGGAUUACAAGCCUGAGCCACUGCGCUUGGCCUACUUCCUGAUUUUUGUGUGAGACACAUCCCAGGAACGUGGUAGACUGCAGACUCCUGGGCCCACCCUCAGAGAUUCUGCUCUGGCAAGGACGUGUUUAUCAGUGAGAGGGGUGUCCAGGAAUACGUGCCUUUUUUUUUUUUUUUUCUAGAGACAGGGUCUCAUCGUUGUCCAAGCUGGAGUGCAGUGGUGCAAUCACAGCUCACUGUAGUGUCAAACUUCUGGGUUCAAGCAAUCCUCCUAUCUCAGCCUCCUAAGUAGCUGGGACUACAGGUGCAUGCCACCAGGUCUGGCUAAUUUUUAAAUUUUUUCUGGAGUUGGGGUCUUGUGAUGUUGCCCAGGCUGAUCU
rnacentral:lncRNA from 1 species